AGGGUGUAAGUGUUGGAGGUGCAAUCUAUGUGGGUAUCUUUUCAAAACACUGUCUGGUUUAACAAGCCACAUCAGAUGCCAUGAUUGUUCUAAGGUAUA